UACAGAGGUCUCGAGCGUUGUUCGGAUUCAUUGGGCGUAAAGGGUGCGUAGGUGGCUAGGUAAGUCGGAUGUGAAAUCUCGGGGCUCAACCCCGAAACUGCAUUCGAUACUGCCUGGCUAGAGUACUGGAGAGGAGAUUGGAAUUUACGGUGUAGCAGUGAAAUGCGUAGAUAUCGUAAGGAGGACCAGUGGCGAAGGCGGAUCUCUGGACAGUUACUGACACUGAGGCACGAAGGCCAGGGGAGCAAACGGG
rnacentral:rRNA from 1 species